AUGAUCGAGGCCAAGGUCAACCUGAACAAAAAGCGGAUGAGUGCCAGCAGGCACGUCCUGUCCGAAUACGGCAACAUUGCCGGCGCCACUGUCCUCUUCAUUCUGGAUGAGAUGCGUAAGCGCUCUGCCGAGGAGAACCAUGCCACUACUGGCGAGGGCAUGGACUGGGGCGUCCUCUUCGGAUUUGGCCCCGGCAUCACCCUCGAGACCGUCGUCAUCCGGAGCAUGCCUAUCAACACCACCACAUGA
rnacentral:rRNA from 1 species